AGUGAACGCUGGCGGUAGGCCUAACACAUGCAAGUCGAACGGCAGCACAGAGGAGCUUGCUCCUUGGGUGGCGAGUGGCGGACGGGUGAGGAAUACAUCGGAAUCUACUCUGUCGUGGGGGAUAACGUAGGGAAACUUACGCUAAUACCGCAUACGACCUACGGGUGAAAGCAGGGGAUCUUCGGACCUUGCGCGAUUGAGUGAGCCGAUGUCGGAUUAGCUAGUUGGCGGGGUAAAGGCCCACCAAGGCGACGAUCCGUAGCUGGUCUGGGAGGAUGAUCAGCCACACUGGAACUGAGACACGGUCCAGACUCCUACGGGAGGCAGCAGUGGGGAAUAUUGGACAAUGGGCGCAAGCCUGAUCCAGCCAUACCGCGUGGGUGAAGAAGGCCUUCGGGUUGUAAAGCCCUUUUGUUGGGAAAGAAAUCCAUCUGGUUAAUACCCGGGUGGGAUGACGGUACCCAAAGAAUAAGCACCGGCUAACUUCGUGCCAGCAGCCGCAGUAA
rnacentral:rRNA from 1 species